UCCAGGGUAGCCUAGUGGACAUGGCAUCUGCCCGGUAAGCAGAACUUUGUGGGUUCGAUUCCCGCCCCUGGAC
rnacentral:tRNA from 1 species